CCUCCACCAUCUUUCAAUCGACACAACUCAAAACUCAUUUAUGACAGAGAUUGAGUUUCAUAUAAUGUUCACAUCAUGAAAUAUUAUUCUUCUGCUGAUUAUUUUUUCAAUCAUCUCAAACUGUCAAGACCAUUCUUGGCUCGUGAGUCACACCAAAACAGGCGACAGGCCAGAUGUCAGGCCCUGGUUUACAGCCUCUCAGCCCCAGAUGCCCCCUGGAAUGGCUGUUCCUGCGGAUGGACAGGACCGGCCGUCCUCCGUGGUGGGAGCACCAUGCUGAGCUUCACCAGUAGAGGCGCUGGAGGGCGGGGCCGGGGCCUCUCCUUGGCGGGUCAGCCCGGCAGCUGUGCUUCUGGCUCCUGCGGCCCCUUCCCGCAGCUGGUGCCAGUGUGGGGACAUCCAGUGUGCUUUGCCCCAGCCGCACACCUGGAGUGCAUGGUCCCUUGGCCAGCUUGCAGCCCACCCCGGGGCCAGUGAGCACCCAGCUGUGGUCCCCUGACCACGGGAGGUCCCACAGGGAUUGUGUGUGCCAGGCCUCACACCGCAGAUCACCUGACUCCCUCUGGGCACCCCCACUGGUCUGUGCUGGCCUGCGCCGAGCUUUCCUGCCUGCCGCCAUCUGCUCUGGGUGAACCCAGCAACUCCUCUGCCAUCCAGGGGGUGUGACCACACCUUCUCCACCAAGGGCCCCACAAAGGCCCCUCUGGCACCCUGGGGCGAACAAUCCACAGUCCCAAGCUCCAGUGAGUCCGGGCGCUGACCCUGACAUGCUGCGUGACUUCCAGCACAGGCUCCCCACUGUGAGUCUCAGUCUGUUCACCUGGGAAAUGGGGAGAACAGCCCCCACCUCGCUGGGGCGUAAGAGUGUGACAUGAGACAGCGUGUAAGGGUCGGGCGCAGGGUGAGGGGCCCGUGGUGCUCAGGACGGGAGCUGCGUCUUCGCUGGUAAGUGCUGAGAGGAUGGCAUGAGACAAAGCCUGUAAGCUCCCAUCGCAGGCCUGGGGAGGGGCCGGGGCUCCACACUCAAGCUCCUCCCCCAGCUCCCCCCAGGCCUGCCCCUCCCCCAGGCCCUUGAGGCCCCAGUUCCCCCCGUUGGUCACGUGGGUCAUGUCCCGGAGCUGCC
rnacentral:lncRNA from 1 species